rnacentral:rRNA from 1 species
GAUGAACGCUGGCGGCGUGCCUAAUACAUGCAAGUCGAGCGAACGGACGAGAAGCUUGCUUCUCUGAUGUUAGCGGCGGACGGGUGAGUAACACGUGGAUAACCUACCUAUAAGACUGGGAUAACUUCGGGAAACCGGAUCUAAUACCGGAUGAUAUUUUGAACCGCAGGGUUCAAAAGUGAAAGACGGUCUUGCUGUCACUUAUAGAUGGAUCCGCGCUGCAUUAGCUAGUUGGUAAGGUAACGGCUUACCAAGGCAACGAUGCAUAGCCGACCUGAGAGGGUGAUCGGCCACACUGGAACUGAGACACGGUCCAGACUCCUACGGGAGGCAGCAGUAGGGAAUCUUCCGCAAUGGGCGAAAGCCUGACGGAGCAACGCCGCGUGAGUGAUGAAGGUCUUCGGAUCGUAAAACUCUGUUAUUAGGGAAGAACAUAUGUGUAAGUAACUGUGCACAUCUUGACGGUACCUAAUCAGAAAGCCACGGCUAACUACGUG